GCCUAUCCAGAACCAAUCCUUGGGUAAGAUUCAGCAGUUAGUCUUUAUGUUUAUAUAUAGGACAUCCAUAUAUAUAUAUAUAUAAUUAACAAUAUGCAUGGGUGGACAUAAUAUAUGAUUGCUGCAGAUGGUAAACGCAAUGAAAUUGGAUGUGGUCGUAGAAUGAAAUGCACACCAAAGGCAGCGCCUCGUAAGUGUAAAAGUCCUUACAGCAAGUCAUGCAACCCGCCCUGAAUGUGGUAGAAAAUAAAGCUAUGGACCUAUGGAUGCUAUGUUAUUAUGUCUAUGCCUAUGGAUAUGGAUAUGGGUAAAGUUAUGCUAAUAAUAAAUUAACAAAUAAAUAAAGUUUCCCCCAUGCCUCAUGGCCCAUGGCAAUGACCACAUCAUCAUCAAUGAAGUUCUUGCAAUGAUCGUAUCAUUACUUUCAUGACUACUAGUUUGUAUGUGUUAUGUUUACUAAAUUAUGGAGUCUUUUUAUGUUGAAAAAUACUAAGUAAUUUUUUUUUUGGUGACAUGUUUAUGUUCAAUAAAUUAUUGUUGGUGAUGUUAAAGAAGAACAGAGAACAGGAAGCAAAAACGUGCAGCAAAGGAGCUGUUAGCUCUUUCAUUCAAC
rnacentral:lncRNA from 1 species